GACAGCAGCCGCCGCGGGAAUACAGAGGGUGCGAGCGUUAAUCGGAUUUACUGGGCGUAAAGCGUGCGUAGGCGGCUUUUUAAGUCGGAUGUGAAAUCCCUGAGCUUAACUUAGGAAUUGCAUUCGAUACUGGGAAGCUAGAGUAUGGGAGAGGAUGGUAGAAUUCCAGGUGUAGCGGUGAAAUGCGUAGAGAUCUGGAGGAAUACCGAUGGCGAAGGCAGCCAUCUGGCCUAAUACUGACGCUGAGGUACGAAAGCAUGGGGAGCAAACAGGAUUAGAUACCCCUGUAGUCCCUGUCUCUUAUAC
rnacentral:rRNA from 1 species